rnacentral:tRNA from 1 species
AAAGUUUUAGUAUAAUUUUGUAUAACUUAUUGUCAAUAGGUAGGAUAAAACUUUA